rnacentral:ncRNA from 1 species
AUCAUGUAGUCUCUCGACACUCCAUAUAGAAAACCUAAGGGCCUCAAUACAUCAUCUACUUAGUUAUCCACAAAAUGGGGAUAACAAGGCCCAUAGUGAUACUAACGUGCAAAUAAUUGGUCUUACUUGGGUAUUUGGGGAAAAUACUAAUCGAACCAUCUAGUAGUUAGUUUCUUUUGAUGUUUCCCUUAGAAAAUUAUUAGAGGCAUAGGGGUGUAACACCCUCAAACUAUUCUUAAACUUUAAAUAAGUAAGAUGAUUUAGCUUUUCCAUUGAGUUGUGCAAUGGAAUCACAGGCUCCAAGUGAGACAAUUUUGGUAAGAACAAUUGGUGAUAUGGAAUGACCUGAAAGUUGAGUUGUGGUGUAAAAAUGUGGCUAGACCAGAUCCCACAAAGAGUGUUGUUUGAUUAGGACAGCAAGACGGUGGUCAUGGAAGUAAAAAUACACUAAGGAGUGUGUAAGAAAUCACCCAUCGAAUCAAGUAGACCAAGAAAUGGAUGGCACUGAAGUGCACAACCUUUACUCAAUUGUAAGAGAUAUUUCCAGGCUUCAAUGAGUAGGACGAUGUGGGGGUAUUUUAGAAACCUUAAGUGUAAGACUGGAUGGAUUGAUCCUUGAUGUAUAUCUUGGU